rnacentral:rRNA from 1 species
CUGCUCAGAUUGAAUGCUGGCGGCAGGCUUAACACAUGCAAGUCGAGCGGGGGAAGGUAGCUUGCUACUGGACCUAGCGGCGGACGGGUGAGUAAUGCUUAGGAAUCUGCCUAUUAGUGGUGGACAACAUCUCGAAAGGGAUGCUAAUACCGCAUACGUCCUACGGGAGAAAGCAGGGGAUCUUCGGACCUUGCGCUAAUAGAUGAGCCUAAGUCGGAUUAGCUAGUUGGUGGGGUAAAGGCCUACCAAGGCGACGAUCUGUAGCGGGUCUGAGAGGAUGAUCCGCCACACUGGGACUGAGACACGGCCCAGAUUCCUACGGGAGGCAGCAGUGGGGAAUAUUGGACAAUGGGGGGAACCCUGAUCCAGCCAUGCCGCGUGUGUGAAGAAGGCCUUAUGGUUGUAAAGCACUUUAAGCGAGGAGGAGGCUACUCUAGUUAAUACCUAGGGAUAGUGGACGUUACUCGCAGAAUAAGCACCGGCUAACUCUGUGCCAGCAGCCGCGGUAAUACAGAGGGUGCGAGCGUUAAUCGGAUUUACUGGGCGUAAAGCGUGCGUAGGCGGCUUAUUAAGUCGGAUGUGAAAUCCCCGAGCUUAACUUGGGAAUUUCAUUCGAUACUGGUGAGCUAGAGUAUGGGAGAGGAUGGUAGAAUUCCAGGUGUAGCGGUGAAAUGCGUAGAGAUCUGGAGGAAUACCGAUGGCGAAGGCCGCCCUCUGGCCUAAUACUGACGCUG